rnacentral:lncRNA from 10 species
CUCUUAUUGAGUGUGGGCAAAAGCUCACACUCAGUCCCAGGAUUAAGUUACUAAUCACUUGAUGUUGUCUUAAUUGAAAGGCAGAUUACCCAGACUAGUCCCUUCUGCCUUCUGGGCAGGUCACAUCUGAAAGAUUAUCCUCUUUGAAUCAGUUUGAAUGUUCUAGUGACCAGGCCACACAGUUUCUCUUGACAUUUAAAAAUAAAGCUUCCAGUCUUGUCACUAAUGGAUUUGGGGUCCAGUACCCUUAAAAUCACCUCAGAGCUGCCUGAAUCCAUAGACUACUUGCAGAAUCACUGGUUUUACUUGGAUCAAGCCAUCUGAGAAGUUUGGCUGAAAUAAAAACUCAAAGCCCCCACAAUAUUGAACCACCAUUCCAGACCCAGCCAAGGUUUGGAACAUAAAGUGAGCUGAAUGAAUCAGCCUGCAGGCAACCCAGAGAAAGUAAUUGUUCAUCCUAGCAGCACGGCUGCUUUUCUGCUUAGCAUCUGAACAAGUUAAUUUGGAAACACAGCCUUCUGGAAAGAAAUGGCGCUUCUCUCAGCAUCCCAUGGAUUCAUGAGCAGCUCCUUGAAUGCAAAUAUUGCCUGAUAUUUUCAUGGUGAGGGAGAAUGGGAGAAACAAGAAAUGAUUACAUUAUUGUGGAUACUUUUAUUCACCACAAUGGAAGUCUUUAAACAUAAAGUUGAUGUACAUUAAGAGGCAAGACCCAGGGCAUAUCAUCUAAAGAAGAUUCCUCCCACUUUUCUUCUGCUUACACCAAUCCAUCCAACCAUACAUGAAUUUAUAUUCAAUGUACUCAAUUUAUUCAGUGUAUAAUAUUGCUUUGUGAACUAUGGGAAAUAUAAAUAUGACUCAGUUUUUCCCCUCAAAUAACUGACAUGCUACUUGAGC